rnacentral:pre_miRNA from 1 species
AUUAAAUGCAAAGGUGCAAGCGAGCUGGACAAGAAUGACGAAAAUUAUUUUCGUCAUUCUUGUCCAGCUCGCUUGCACCUUUGCUCGCUUGUC